CACUCUGCGGGACAAGGCACGUUCUGCUGAUCCCCAGUCUAUCAGUGACUCGCUGCCCCGUCCCGGCUAAUUUUCGUCAAGACUUGGACGUAGCUGCGCUUUGCCGCCCUGCCUGAGAAAUUGGACUGUCGAGUCAACUGAAGACUAGCGAGAACUGGGGAUGACCUCAUCCAAUGUUGAGACCUUGGUCCAGUUCCAUUCGAAAGGGUUUCGUGCACUGGGAGUUCAUCAUUCGAUGGCGAUGUGAAAACUGACAAGGGUCUCAGCGUGAAAUGUCGACUGCACUCUUUUCCUUGGAUGCUGCCUGGCCUGCAGGGUUCCUCCAGCGAUUUGUUAGAUGGAAUCUCACUGGCUCGCCAAUCGGCCUUGGAUCACCUAGAGAACAGCAAUACCUAUUUUAGGCGGCUCUUUUAUUGAUAACAACUCAAGUCUUCAACGCAAUCAUAUCCUCAGUUCUUAUCAACGGCGUCCAAAACCUGGGCUUCUGUACCUCACCCUGAAACUGAAUCCUUGACUUCACCAUUUGUCAAAGACACAACUGUUGUUGGCAGAACUUCAAAUGGUGAAGAGGAGGCGUUCAGGAGUGAGAUAGAUCAGCCGACUGAGUGGUGGCGCAAUAAGAACCUUGCAUUCAAUGUUAGUGAGGCCAAGGAAUUGAUGGUGGACUUUAAGAGAGGAAGUCGAGGCAGCACAAGACAGUCCUCAUCGAGGGAUCACCAGCGGAAAGGAUGAGCAGUUUCAGCUUCCUGAGUGUCAGCAUCUCCAAAGAUCUAUCCUGACUCCACUAUUCUGAUGCAAUUACAAAGAAAGAACGACAGCGGCUAUAUUUCCUCAGGAGUCUGAGAACUUCUACAGAUGUACUGUGGAGAGCAUUCUGAAUGGUUGCACCACCAUCUGGUACAGAGGGGCCAUUGCACAGGAUCAGAAAAGGACUGCAGAGAGUUGUGAACUCAGCCAACUACACCAUGGUCACUAGCCUUCCCAGCAUCGAGGACAUCUUCAAAAGGUGAUACACCAAAAAAGUGGGAUCUAUCAUUAAGGACCCACAUCAUGCAAGAUGAUCCUCCUCUCAUUUCUGCCAUCAAGGGAGAGGUACAGGAGCCUGGAGAGAGAGGAGAGAA